rnacentral:lncRNA from 1 species
UUUUCGUAUUUUCUUACGUAACUGAGAAAAUAAACGACAGGAUAAAAAUCAAUUUAUAAGUUUGGCGUAAGAUGAUUAUUUUUAAAUCAAUUUAUUAAUUGAUAUUGCUUAAUACAGUAUAGCGUUUCUCAAAUUGUGUUCACAGCAAACUGUUCGUGAAAAAUCAAUUUUAAAAAUAAGUUAAGAUUUGGCAUGUUUGUAAUAUACACUAUGCUUAUAUCGCUAUAAUUUUUAACACUACUUUUUUCGAUAAUAAUAAUGGAUAUAUUAAUUAAUCAAAUAUAGCGCGGAACGCUAUCUUGGCGGGCUUCGUAUAGAUAUUCGUAGAGAUAGGUGUAUGUACAAAAAUUAACGAAGUAAUCAUCUAAUAUAUCAUUCACGUGCGAUUUAGCCUGUAUUAAAUGGAUUAAGGGAAAAAGACGAGCAGAUAACAUCCAUCGAAUGAAACAAAGUAUCUAUCCGCCAAUACGUUCGUGUAUGUUUACGUAGUGGCGCGUGCCGAACAUCUUCGCAAUUACGAAAUAAGUGCAGAAAACUAAUGUAGUCAAGCCAGGCUUUUGAAAAACCUUCCAUGAUAGCUGUUCCUGAAAUAAUCUGAUAUUUACAUGGCAUUAAUUCUUCAAAUGUUUGCAGUCCAAAUGAAUAAGCUUUCUGAUUUAAUUCUUUAAAAAUAUGACUUCCA